CCAUUUUUUUUCUUUUUUUUCUUUUGUUUUCUUUUUAGCCUUUUUAAUGGCAGGAUGACGAUGCCUUUUCUUUAAAUACCUCGAAUUUGAACUAAGUGAAAACUGUUUUAUACAUGCUACAACUUCGAAGUGGAAUAUUAAAAAUAUAUAUAUCAAAAAACAAAGUAAACAACAUACAUAGGUAGUAAUACGUGGAUUGAAAUCCUCUGUCAACAGAAAAUUGAAGAACAUAACAAAUAACAGAAAUGUAUCUCUUGAAAUAUAAUAAUUUAAGAACAAAUUCAUAUGAUAAAUAAGUAAUUUUGAGAUUUACGUUACCAGAUAUAUAUUCUUUUAUAAUUCAGAUAGCUUUGCGAUUAUUUUGUGGUUGUUUUAUUUCCGUAUUUUUAUAGGCAAAAAUUGCUCUAAUCUGACAGAAAUUUAUUUAGAUCUUGCAAUAGAGAAUUCAUUGUAUAUAACAAUCGCAGAAGAACAAUAGAAUUAAAAUUUCUUUGAUUAAAACCCUUUUUAACAUGGAAAUAUCCAAAGAGCAUUUGAGGCAUAUUAUGCUUUAUGAAUACAAAAAAAGGAAACCCUGCAGCCGAAGCGACUCGAAACAUACACUCAGUUUAUGGGAAAGAAAGCUUGAAUGAAAGAACUUGCAGAAGAUGGUUUGCAAAAUUCAGACGUGGAGAUUUCAACAUUGCAAAUGAAGAUCGAACAAGACGUCCAGUUGAGUUUGAGGAUAAGUUCCUUGAGGCAUUACGUGAAGAAAAUCCUGCAUUAUCAGUUGAAGAAUUGGCAAUAAAACUUACUUGAAACCAUACAACAGUUUAUUGUCAUCUUCAAUAACUUCGGAAGCUUCCUAAACUUGGAAAAUGUGUGCCUCGUGAAUUUUCCGAAAGCAACUGAAAAUCCCGAGUUGAUAUCUGCUCUUCUCUCGAUUUUCGCGAACACAUUUCAACCUUUUUUGGAUAGACUUGUUAAUGGUGACGAAAAAUGGAUCCUCUAUCAAAAUGUUAAACGUCGUAAACAGUGGUUUUGUACAAGGGAAAAAAGGAAAAAUCUCAACCACAACCGAGAAGGGAAAUUCAUUGAAAAAAUGUUUUUCUCUCUAUCUGGUGGGAUUGCAAAGGAGUCAUUCACUUUUAAUUAUUACCACUUAAUGUAACAAUCAAUGCUCAAGUCUACUGUCAGUAAUUAGAGCGUUUGAACCAUGCUUUAAAGAAAAAAAAGACCUGCUUUAGUGAACCGAAAAGGAGUGAUGUUUCAUCCGGACAAUGCGUGACCCCACACUGCAAAGAUCACAUCACAGAAGAUCAAAGAGCUUGGUUGGGAAAAAAAAAAAACAUUUGGGGAACAUAACUUUCGCAAGCAAGGAGGAGGUCGAAACUGACAUUUCAGGGUUUUUCACUUUGAAACGAAAAAAGUUUUACAUUGAUGGGAUUAAAAAGCUUUUAAAUAGAUGGAAAGAAGUCAUAGAUAAUCAGGGAGAGUACAUUGCUGAUUAAAUCUCAAUUAAAUAUAA